rnacentral:lncRNA from 1 species
GGGCUUACCCCUGUUUCCUAACAGUACAUACAAGAACUCUGAGUCCAUCUGUUGCAUACACGUCAAAAUCAUGGUUUAAAUUAAACAAAUUUAACUAAAUCUACUGCAUGCUUGGAGGGGCACGAAUUGAAGCAAGUCAAUAAGAAAAGCUAUAGCAUGUGGGUCAAUCCAUAGUUCCGUACCACAGGGAAAUUAUAUCAUCUCAUUGCUCGCACCAGAGUAAAAGG